rnacentral:rRNA from 1 species
AUUGAACGCUGGCGGCAGGCCUAACACAUGCAAGUCGAGCGGUAGAGAGGUGCUUGCAUCUCUUGAGAGCGGCGGACGGGUGAGUAAUGCCUAGGAAUCUGCCUAGUGGUGGGGGAUAACGUUCGGAAACGGACGCUAAUACCGCAUACGUCCUACGGGAGAAAGCGGGGGAUCUUCGGACCUCGCGCCAUUAGAUGAGCCUAGGUCGGAUUAGCUAGUUGGUGAGGUAAAGGCUCACCAAGCCGACGAUCUGUAGCUGGUCUGAGAGGACGACCAGCCACACUGGGACUGAGACACGGCCCAGACUCCUACGGGAGGCAGCAGUGGGGAAUUUUGGACAAUGGGCGCAAGCCUGAUCCAGCAAUGCCGCGUGCAGGAUGAAGGCCUUC